GAGAGGGGUAGCAUGGCCUCAUUGGACAGCACCCUGAGGAAGGCCCCGCCACUUCCUGGAGACAGCCGGAGCUGCCGGAGGUCAUCGCCAUGCUCAACUACAGACUGGACCCCGUCAAGAGCAAUGCUGCCGCAUACCUGCAGCACCUCACCUUUAAGAACGACAAGGUGAAGACAGAGGUCA